rnacentral:rRNA from 1 species
AUGGCUUCUUCGCACUCCAAAGCUCUAGGGGAUGGGCUGACAACGGACCAGAAGAAGGAGAUGGCCGCCAUUGCUUCCGGCUGGCUGGCCGGCAAGCAGCCGGAGGACGACGCGACCGACGAUGAGCCGAUGCCACCCUCCUCCUCCUCCCUACCACCCUCACUGAUGCAUUGCACCAAGACCAUCAGCGAGACUCGUGCCCAUUACAUGGAGAUGGUGCGAGAGGAGCGGCAGGAGCAGUUCCAGGAGGCGCAGGCCGACGCCGCCUACAACACCAUCCCCUUUAGGAGCAUCAGUAGGUGGAGUAGUAACUCGCCGCCAGCAGGGUGA